CUUGUAGCUCCCCUCCUCAGCCGGAUCGAGUGCUGAGGGGAUGCGAAACCGGGUAGGAGGGGUAGCGAGAAUCAAAAGAACUGGAAGAGAACAAAGACGGAAGGGAGAAUGGAGAGCAGGGCGGGAGUGACGGAGUGGCGAGACGCGAGAGUAAGGGCGGAAGUGAGGAAAGAGCGAAGGCGGAGGGAUGGGAGUGAUACGAAGCAAGAACAAAGAAAGAAGGGUGGAAGUGGAGAGGUGGAGAGAGAAGAAAGUGCAGAGCAAAGGGCAGAAGCGAUGGGACGCAAGAAAGAAGUAUUAACAAGAUAGAGAAGAACUGAAACAAGAGGAAAGGAAAGGGAAAGGGAAAAGAGGAAGAAAAAGUAAGAAAGGAGAAAGCAGCUAGAAUAUGUGACGCUAGAAUGUGGAGAAAAAAGGAGACGCCCACAAUUGAAGAUUGGAAGAGGAAGAUUUUGGACGUUAAGAAUAUGGACAGGCUAAGUUAUUUAUUACAAAGAUAUAAAGGGAUAGUAAAAAAAGAAACAGAUUGGACAUUAUUUGAUGAAUAUCUAAGAUAACAGAUGUUAAAGGGUUAAACAGCUUUUUGAUAAAGAACUAACACAUAUUUCUUAUUCCUCUGAAAUAAUUUAUGUAAGAUAUGAAAUGAGAUCUACGAAACAUCGAACCUCGAAGGAAAAGGAAGAAACCAACCUUGAAGGACCCUGGAAGUCAGACUGAAGAAGAAGGAACUUUUAGAUUUUCUUUUUGGUUUUUUCCCCGGUUCUUGUUUUAAAUUCCCGAACCCCCUUCCCACCACUCCACUCCCACACACCCCUUCCCCUUCCCUUCCCUACAUCUCCUCCCCUUUUUUUCUUUUUCUUUUCUUUUUUUUCUCUCCCUAGAAAGUGCUUUUAUCUAUUAUGUACUGUGAAAACUUAAUAAAGAAUAUUUAAAAAAGAAAAAGAAAAAAAUGAUUUGCCAUUUCCGGGUUGGUGUGAUGGCUGCAGGACAGUUUCCGCAGAGACCGCAGGGCGACCUGCCGACGGUCCUAAGAGACACUCUCCCCUCAAGGGUGGUGUCCAAAGGACCCGGCAAAGGUGGUCCACAGGGCAUAGCGGAUCGUGCCGGGGCGAGCUAGGGUCCAAAGAUAGCCUAACAAAGGAGACAGAAAAUCAUUGACUCCAUAGCAGAGGGGGGAAAGAUAGAAAGAAGAUAGUUUAGGCAUAAUAAAAUAAUGCUGCAGGAUUUGGACUUCCACAAGUGUUUUUAAGUUGAGAUGCAGCCACUUUCAGUGGCUUUCCCCAGGGUCAGUUGCAAGUGUUGUGUGGGUGCUCACCUAAAAGGCUAGUGUUGAUGCACCCUAAGUCUUCUUUAUGAAGGCUUCAAGAGGGGUGCUGAAGUUUUCAUGGACCUUGCUGAUCGGGACCUCUCUCAUUUGCAGCUUCUUCGGAAACAUGCAACGACGGAGCGAGAGGUUGGCUGCCCUCCAGCCAGUUUCCUACAGAGAAACAGGAGUCAAGAGGGUCUUCAAAAAGAUCCACAGGAGAAGCUGGUCUUCUGCUGCUAUGAGAAGAGUAUGACAUGACGGACAGCAUCCCUUGCUGUACCUCCACUUGGACCACACCCAAAUGAUGGCCCAGGAUGGGGCUGCUUCUCCUGGCACUGCUCUUCCUUUUUGGGAUCUGCUUACGAUUCAUGCCUGGACUCAAGAUCCAAAAGACUGUCCAUCUGAGGUAAAGAGAUUCCCCAACUGACAGGAAGAGUAUGAAGUUGUACCACAAAAUCCAGA